UGAUCCAAACACAGUUCAAAUUUUCUACAAUGAGUGACUGAAGUCUAGGUUGGUUCUGUGUGAUUUGUUUGUAAAGAAGCUUAAAACUAAGAUGUUCUUUCAGGAACUGACCUGGUUUUGGAGUGAUGGUUCCAGAUUUGUGCAUUAUUUAUGGACCGAAAAGCUCAUAGGCAAAGGGAAAAAAUGCAUGGACUUCAAUGUAGAAGGACAGACACGUUUGAUUGGUGCUCCCUGUAGCAAAACGCUUCCCUACAUCUGUGCCAGAGUCCCAUAAUCUUUCUCUUCUUAUGCCUAAAAACCUGAAAUGCCCAUAUGGCUUUCCUGCUGGUGAUGUCACUUCCACCUGGAUGUUAAGCCUCGAUGACAUCACGGCUGGAAGAACCUGAUUUCACUUCACUUGAUCACUUAAAUAAAUGUUUAUUUUUCUGAAA